rnacentral:rRNA from 1 species
GACGAACGCUGGCGGCGUGCCUAACACAUGCAAGUCGAACGGAAAGGUCCUGCUUUUGUGGGGUGCUCGAGUGGCGAACGGGUGAGUAACACGUGAGUAACCUGCCCUUGACUUUGGGAUAACUUCAGGAAACUGGGGCUAAUACCGGAUAGGAGCUCCUGCUGCAUGGUGGGGGUUGGAAAGUUUCGGCGGUUGGGGAUGGACUCGCGGCUUAUCAGCUUGUUGGUGGGGUAGUGGCUUACCAAGGCUUUGACGGGUAGCCGGCCUGAGGGGGUGACCGGCCACAUUGGGACUGAGAUACGGCCCAGACUCCUACGGGAGGCAGCAGUGGGGAAUAUUGCACAAUGGGCGGAAGCCUGAUGCAGCAACGCCGCGUGCGGGAUGACGGCCUUCGGGUUGUAAACCGCUUUCGCCUGUGACGAAGCGUGAGUGACGGUAAUGGGUAAAGAAGCACCGGCUAACUACGUG